AUUUAUGACCAUGCCACCCUGAACAAGCCCGAUCCCAUCUGAUCUCGGAAGCUAAGCAGGGUUGGGCCUGGUUAGUACUUGAAUGGCAGACCACCUAGGAAGACCAGGUGCUGUAGGUG
rnacentral:rRNA from 1 species